GUGAUCAUAUUUAGUGACCGACCAUGACAAAUGAAAAUAGAGAAGAGUCAUAUUUAAUGUGAGACAGGAUUGUCUAUAAUAGAAAGAUCUAAAUGCCUAACCGAAUAAAUUGAAAAAAGGGGGAAGGGAAAGGUGAACGAAUUCACCAACAAAUAGGCACAUCAAGAUAUGCAUCUCAGCUACGCAUUCUGGAAGACUUCACCGUUAACACUUAAAUACCUAACCAUUAUUUAAGUAUUGUGUUGUGUGCGCUUGACCGAUUCAAACUCAUGAUUUGAGAGGAGAAAGUAGAACAUUCUUCCCAUCAAGCCACGAGUUCGACAAGCAUUAUCUCUUAAUAUUCUAAUAGACUAAAAUCAAACCGUGAUUCCACCUAAGCAUGCAUUACGCACAUUAUUUUCUUUCAAAUUCCAAAUCCCAUAGACCACAGAGAAAAUAUCUUGCAAGGCGCUUCAUGAGCCAACAUGAUUGAAGGGUUGAUACUUUCGAAGAGGCAGAAAUUCAAUAAUUGGCAGAGUCCGAGUCCUUCUUGUCACGUAACCAUCAAUGCCAUACAGCAAAGCAAAUAUAUCUCCAUAAAGAAAUGGCCAGCCAUUAAUGUACAACAGACAAAUCAACACUCCCCUUCGAUUCAAACAAGCACAAGCCGAACCCAAUAAUUGAAACUAACAUCUAUCCAAAAGCAAUGAAGCAUAACCGAGCCUUCACUCCACUCUAAUAUAACUUCGCAACUUCCUGUAGGUACGUACAUGCGUUACAUAUCGGUAAGCUCCAAUUACGUAUGACUCAAAAUCAAAUCCUACGCUUAUUAUGAAUACCCAUAAUCCUCCUACAGAGUGUAUUUACUUUCUCAUGAGAUUUGUUACGAGCUACAAGUUGUCAACGAGGUCGCUAGUCUUUCUCUGCACAAAUUUUCAUAGCCUUUGUAGUCCAAUAAGAAGAAG